rnacentral:rRNA from 1 species
UACGGAGGGUGCGAGCGUUGUCCGGAAUCACUGGGCGUAAAGGGCGCGUAGGCGGCGCAUGAAGUCAACGGUGAAAGCCCGGGGCUCAACCCCGGGUCGGCCGUCGAUACUCGUGUGCUGGAGCACUGUAGAGGCAGGUGGAAUUCCGGGAGUAGCGGUGGAAUGCGUAGAGAUCCGGAAGAACACCGGUGGCGAAGGCGGCCUGCUGGGCAGUAGCUGACGCUGAGGCGCGACAGCGUGGGGAGCAAACAGG